rnacentral:rRNA from 1 species
AUUGAACGCUGGCGGCAGGCCUAACACAUGCAAGUCGAACGAGUGGCGGACGGGUGAGUAAUGUCUGGGAAACUGCCUGAUGGAGGGGGAUAACUACUGGAAACGGUAGCUAAUACCGCAUACCAUCGGAUGUGCCCAGAUGGGAUUAGCUAGUAGGUGGGGUAAAGGCGCACCUAGGCGACGAUCCCUAGCUGGUCUGAGAGGAUGACCAGCCACACUGGAACUGAGACACGGUCCAGACUCCUACGGGAGGCAGCAGUGGGGAAUAUUGCGCAAUGGGCGAAAGCCUGAUGCAGCCAUGCCGCGUGUAUGAAGAAGGCCUUCGGGUUGUAAAGUACUUUCAGCAGGGAAGCGUUACCCGCAGAAGAAGCACCGGCUAACUACGUGCCAGCAGCCGCGGUAAUUC